UGGCUCAGAUUGAACGCUGGCGGCAUGCUUACACAUGCAAGUCGAACGGCAGCGGCGGGGGCAACCCUGGCGGCGAGUGGCGAACGGGUGAGUAAUGCAUCGGAACGUAUCCUGUAAUGGGGGAUAGCGUAGCGAAAGUUACGCUAAUACCGCAUACGCUCGAGAGAGGAAAGUGGGGGAUCGCAAGACCUCACGUUAUAGGAGCGGCCGAUGUCCGAUUAGCUAGUUGGUGGGGUAAAGGCCUACCAAGGCGACGAUCGGUAGCUGGUCUGAGAGGAUGAUCAGCCACACUGGGACUGAGACACGGCCCAGACUCCUACGGGAGGCAGCAGUGGGGAAUUUUGGACAAUGGGCGAAAGCCUGAUCCAGCCAUGCCGCGUGCGGGAAGAAGGCCUUCGGGUUGUAAACCGCUUUAGUCCGGGAAAAAGGGGUGCGAGGAUAAUACCCUCGUGCUUUGAUGGUACUGGAAGAAUAAGCACCGGCUAACUACGUG
rnacentral:rRNA from 1 species